rnacentral:rRNA from 1 species
CGAACGGGUGAGUAACGCGCGAGGAACCUGCCUCAAAGAGGGGGACAACAGUUGGAAACGACUGCUAAUACCGCAUAAGCCCACGGGUCGGCAUCGAUCUGAGGGAAAAGGAGUGAUCCGCUUUGAGAUGGCCUCGCGUCCGAUUAGCUAGUUGGUGAGGUAACGGCCCACCAAGGCGACGAUCGGUAGCCGGACUGAGAGGUUGAACGGCCACAUUGGGACUGAGACACGGCCCAG